rnacentral:piRNA from 1 species
UUUGGUGCAUCAGGUUUCCGG